rnacentral:rRNA from 1 species
GACGAACGCUGGCGGCGUGCUUAACACAUGCAAGUCGAACGGAAAGGCCCUGCUUGCAGGGUACUCGAGUGGCGAACGGUUGAGUAACACGUGGGUGAUCUGCCCUGCACUUCGGGAUAAGCCUGGGAAACUGGGUCUAAUACCGGAUAUGACCUUCCAUGUAGUGUGGGGGGUGGAAAGUUUUAUCGGUGUGGGAUGAGCCCGCGGCCUAUCAGCUUGUUGGUGGGGUAAUGGCCUACCAAGGCGUCGACGGGUAGCCGGCCUGAGAGGGUGGACGGCCACAUUGGGACUGAGAUACGGCCCAGACUACAACGGGAGGCAGCAGAGGGGAGUAUUGCACAAUGGGCGGGAGCCGUAUGCAACGACGCCGCGUGGGGGAUGACGGCCUUCGGGUUGGAAACCUCUUUCGACAGAGACGAAGCUUCGGUGACGGUACCUGUAUAAGAAGCACCGGCUAACUACGUG